rnacentral:rRNA from 1 species
CAUGAAGCUGGAGUUACUAGUAAUCGCAGAUCAGAAUGCUGCGGUGAAUGCGUUCCCGGGUCUUGUACACACCGCCCGUCACACCACGGAAGUUGGGGCGCCCGAAGCCACUUAGCUAACCCUUUUGGGAAGCGAGUGUCGAAGGUGAAAUCAAUAACUGGGGUGAAGUCGUAACAAGGUAUC